CCACAAUCAUUAUUCUCAUAAAGGGGAUCUGAGAGUGUCACUCCUAGAGGUGCCUACGAAAUCCGGGACUGAAUGGAAACUGAAACAAGGGUUGGCUGCUCCCAACCUCUGCCCAGUCCCCUGGCCCUGCAUUCUCACGGGGACUUGAGGUCCUCGAAACUCCUCUUGCCUUCCUUGUUCCCUUUGCGGGAAAUACCAUUCUGUUUAAGCCCUGGGGCCGGCUCCAGUGCUGUGGGAUUUAGACCUCAUUCCUCUGUGUAUGUACCUGACUUUAGGUGCUUGGCAGGGACAUGUGUGUAGCCUGGGUGAAUGCCUGGGGGGAGACAGUUUUCUUCCCAGGCUCCUGCACACCGUGUCCCCUUCCUUUUUGCAGAUUGCGGUCCUGAAACCUCCCUCCACCUCCAGUGGAUGCCCCUCCUCCCUUUUCUUACGGUUGCCUGAGCCUUUCUGCUUUGAAUCCCAUAAUGAAUGUACCUCACACUGUUGCUACUUCAUUCUAGAGUUGAGCCACGUGGCAUUAUCUGUGCCAUGUGUCUGCCCCACCUGUGAGUUUUGCCUGGCGAAGACUGUGUCUCAGACACCCCUCCCCACCAUGUCACAUCAUAGCUUGGGAAUGUGGCGGAUUCUCGAUGCAACCACGAGGACAUCCGCUCCGCAGCAAGCCGGAGAGCAGAUGCAAUCCGCGCGCAAAUUCGGGGGAUACUUGCAUGCAGUAGGGCCAGGUGUGCAGAGGGCUGAGCGGGGCCUGCCCUCCCCUGCCAGGUGCAUCCCCUACCCCAAGCCACGGCACUCCAGUGGGGUGGCGUGAAGACCCGAGAACUACACUCCGCCAGGCGAGCCCCUUCUUUUUAAAAACAUCCAGAGAGAGACAAGGUAGGAGAGUCACCAGUUUCUGUGCUGAAUUGAAGCAAGUCUUUGUUUUUCUGGAGGUGUUCGUUCUUAAAACGUGGAAAUAAAAUCAUCUUAACUGACAUGACACGAAGACACUCAGAAGGCAUACACGGGCAGGGCAGGGGUACGAAAUUAAUCAGGGCUCCGUGCCACAGCUCCUAAGACACUGACUACACGGACAACUUGAAAUCAGUGGCCCUGCUGCCUCCUCUUGCCAAUCCAGCUCUGUGGGGACAAUACUGUCUCCUUGGAAGGAGUUAGCUUGUUUGGGCCUAGAAAGGCCUUUGGGUUCUAGAGUUGACAGGGCUUUGCUUUACCUCAGUGACAAAUACCUGUCAACGUCACUCCCACUUUUUCUGGAGAAUGUUUCAAUCUACAGACACAUUGUCAUAUUGUAUGUCUUUGAGUUUGCAUUGUGUUGUUACAUAUAGAUUUAGUUCAUUCAUUUAAAAUGGUG